rnacentral:lncRNA from 1 species
GUCCUUCUUUGGGUUCUCUUUUGAAUCCUCGUCGAAACGCUUUUCGUUUCGUCUCAAUCGGAGUUUCCGUUGAGAUUUUACGACGAAAACAAGUAGGACGCUUCUUGGCUUGCUUCCAUUCGCUACGUAGCGACCUGUCAGACUGUCAGUCGCUACGUAGCGACCUGUAAGUCCUCAAAGGGUUCUUCCUUUGCGUUCUCCUUUGAAUCCUCUUCGAAAUGCUUUUCGUUUCGUUUCAAUCGGAGUUUCCGUUGAGAUUUUACGACGAAAACAAGUUGGACUCGUCUCGGCUCCCUUCCACUCGCUAUAGCGACCGAGAUGACAUCCUCACUCGCUAUAGCAACCUGUCAGGCCUCAAAGGGGUCCUCCUUUGCGUUCUCCUUUGAAUUCUCAUCGAAACGCUUUUCGUUUCGUCUCAAUCGGAGUUUCCGUUGAGAUUUUACGACAAAAACAAGUAAACCUCAUCUUAAACUCCUUGGCUUGUUUCUGCUCACCCUACCUCCAUCUUUGCGUUCACUUUCGAAUCUCGAUCGAAACGUCUCUUGUUUCGCCUCGAUUGAAGUUACCAUUGAGACUUUACGAUAUAAAAAAAAAAAAAAAAACCGCAAAGACCUAUUUUCUCGCAUGGAUUCAGAUUAAUCGUAUAAAACGGCAUUGGUUAACUUAACACCUUAGCCGCCUUAACUAUACGAUUACGUUGGACCUUUUUACAAAAAUCGACGUCUUAUCUAAGGAGAAGAUAACAGUCAAGUUCGGAAGAUAAAUGUCAAGUUUCAAAGGAUAAACACCAAUAUCGGAAAUGGCGAACAUACACGAGAAUAGGAAACAGAAAAUGAGCACGCAAAACUGAGAAGGGACAAAACUGCAUCUUCGAGAGAACUAAGGUAUUUCCGACUUGAAAUUUUUGAAAUCAGACUUGGAAUUUUCGUAGGAAAUUACUUUGAGGCUGCCAUAGAACUUUAGGGAACGUAAAACCUAGGCGGAUAGUCUAGCGAACUAAGUUUUAAGCGAUUUUUCCUGUCUCGAUAUAUUGUCCCAUAAUUGUUCAUCCAGAUCUUGCAAACCGAUCUAAACUCUCCGAAAGUCGAGAAAUGAUCGCCACGCAUAUCAAGCUCGCUUCCUAAAGAGAGAAAAAGUUAGAGACAUGAACGUCGUCUUAAAACCGAUUCGUUUCUGGCAAUUUUCUCGGAACCGACAUAUCCCAAGUCGUCAACGUGGAAACACCAAAUCACAGUCCAAGCGUCGUCUAUAAAUCGUUCCGAAUUAUCGAUCAUUCCAAACAUCAGGAGAGGAAACGUACACAACCCUUCAAAGUAUCGGUUCAACCGUUUUUCUUUCGUAAAAAAAAAAAAGGGGGGAGUAGGUACGUAUACUAUACUCGUAUACUCCCAAACUUCAAAAAACUUCUGCAAAUCGUCAAGAAUAGGCAAACGACAAUCUUAAUAUUCGUCUAAACGCUAGCAACAUAUCCAGACGAUCAUGAACAUAAUCUCAAAAACUAUACAUCAUUUCUUGUCGCAAUCAUGCGUACAGAAAACUUGUACCAAUAUCAAACUGAAACUCGACGAUUAGCCAAAGUAUUGAAGCCUUUUCCGGCUUCAGAAAGCCAGUUUCGUUUUAAACUUAUCGACGAGAAAUCUUCAAUCACCAAAGCACUUCUUUCAGUUUCCGUUG